rnacentral:lncRNA from 1 species
UUUUGUCGAGAUCGAAUUCCAAAAUUCACCCAAUUCCGCCGGGCCCAAACUCUUCGGCCGAGCAUGAGUAAACACACCCCUUAAGCCAUUAACGAACUCUUCCGUCGCCACUUCUUCCGGCGUAUACAAACCCAAUGCCACUCCAAAUUGAGGUAUAGACAUCUCAUACAAAUUUCGCCCCAAAGAAAAUGAUACCGCAUUAGCUUCAGAAAAUGCACCCUCCUUGUGACGGAAGGUACAAUGAAACUCUAUAGUAAGCUCGGUAUAUUGCGUCUCUUCACACGCAUCCAUAGCCAUCCGCAACCUUGGUCCUAACAACUCCGCGACCCUAUCACUUGCCCCCAUACUCUCCAACCAUUCCCAAUCUAUGAUCCGAUGUUCCAAAGUUUGGGUUACCACAUACUUUUUCAUCUUAACCCUUUCUUCAGUAUCUUCUUCAAAAUCUAACAUCGAUGAUCACUCAACUUGUCAAUCUUGGCGUACACUCUCCUAUCGUUCCCACGAUACUUGAUUCUUCUCUUCCUUGGGUUUGACGAAGACCCUGCACCUGACAUGAUCUGCAAAACAAGAAAUAUUUGACAAGAAAACAAUGCAGAUUAUUAGUACCACGAGCUAUUUUUGGUAUUUUUAAUUUUUUUUAAAUUUUUUUUUUAAAAAGACAAAGAAAAACAAUAAAGAAAUAGCCGUAUAGCAUUUCGUUCCCGGCUAAUUUCGAAAAAAUGGGUUACCGUUUACAAAGGCGUAAGUUACACAUCAUUCCGCCCGAAUGGAGAUUGAGUACGGGCAAAAAGUUGUGAACUUGUACAUGCAUAUAAGUAAACCCGACACUAGACUCAAACUACUAUCCUAAAAACACUUCUAGACUCACGACUCGAACGAACUACGACUCAAUGUACACUAUCUCCUCCCGGCACUUUAAUUGUCCUCAAUUAAGCAUAAGUGCCAAAAUAUCCCCACACUUGAGGCGAAAACACGUGAGAGUUGGACAUUUUAAACCUUGACAUAACAUUGGUAGCAACAAAAUCUGUUAAGAAAACUAAUUUGAUUUGCAAAAAUCAGUUCAAAAACUUAUUUUUUUUUAGCAAAAAUCCAUAGUUAUACCCAAACAAACCCGCAAAGCUUAAACAUGAUGCCUAGUGGUCCAAGUCCAAACAUACCCCAUAAGUGUCCAACAACCUCAAGCAAACCAACCCGAACCAUCCGCAGACCCGAUUUGUAUGUAAAAAUCCAAACAUUAGCACCCACAUACCACUAACAUGACAAAGAGGAGCAAAAAUUCUAACUUUAAGACCCUACACAAACCCUAACACCAAGACAAGACUGACCCGACACUAAAACAAGGCAAUAAAGCUACCUACUAGUGAGAAAUUACAAGAAACAUACCUCGGAAUCGGAUUGAACAAGAAAAAUGAAGUCUUGAACUUUUUUGCACACGAAUUUUCCCAAAAUCGUGAAAAUGGGGUGAGAAAUCGGGUGAAAUAGAUGGCUAAGAUUGUGGGGAACUUGAUUGUGGUGAAAUUCGCGUUUUAGGGUUUUGAAAGGGGAAAGAAUGAGAUCUGCAGCGAACAGGGUCAUUUGUAACGUUUUGAAAAGGUUCACAUAGGCGUCGCGUGACGCGUAGGGGGUGCCCUAGGGCCUCGCGUAACGCGGCGGUCCACUUUUUAAUUGUUUUUGACCCUUUACCCCUCGCGUGACGCGAAGGGGCUAGGCGUCGCGCGAGGGUUCGUUUUUGGCAGAAUGUUUCGUGCAAAUUCAAGUUCCAUGCCUUAGAAAAUUUUCAGAACUUUUCCAAACCCAACCAAAAACCUCAAAAAUGUUUCUAAGUAUCUAAAACACUUACCUGGGACCUCUUUUCUCGUGCCUUCUCCAUUCCGUAGCGAUGAUGAAACCUGCAAAAUUCUCAACAACACAAAACAAACACCGAAAAAA